GAUCAUGGCUCAAGAACGAACGCUGGCGGCAUGCCUAACACAUGCAAGUCGAACGAGACCUUCGGGGUCUAGUGGCGCGCGGGUGCGUAACGCGUGGGAACCUGCCUUUAGGUUCGGAAUAACUCAGAGAAAUUUGAGCUAAUACCGGAUAAUGUCUUCGGACCAAAGAUUUAUCGCCUUUAGAUGGGCCCGCGUUGGAUUAGCUAGUUGGUGGGGUAAAGGCCUACCAAGGCGACGAUCCAUAGCUGGUCUGAGAGGAUGAUCAGCCACACUGGGGACUGAGACACGGCCCAGACUCCUACGGGAGGCAGCAGUGGGGAAUAUUGGACAAUGGGCGAAAGCCUGAUCCAGCAAUGCCGCGUGAGUGAUGAAGGCCUUAGGGUUGUAAAGCUCUUUUACCCGAGAUGAUAAUGACAGUAUCGGGGGAAUAAGCUCCGGCUAACUCCGUG
rnacentral:rRNA from 1 species